AGCGAGCUUGCCUAGAUGAUUUUAGUGCUUGCACUAAAUGAAACUAGACACUUACGAGCGGCGGACGGGUGAGUAACACGUGGGUAACCUGCCCAAGAGACUGGGAUAACACCUGGAAACAGAUGCUAAUACCGGAUAACAACACUAGACGCAUGUCUAGAGUUUGAAAGAUGGUUCUGCUAUCACUCUUGGAUGGACCUGCGGUGCAUUAGCUAGUUGGUAAGGUAACGGCUUACCAAGGCAAUGAUGCAUAGCCGAGUUGAGAGACUGAUCGGCCACAUUGGGACUGAGACACGGCCCAAACUCCUACGGGAGGCAGCAGUAGGGAAUCUUCCACAAUGGACGAAAGUCUGAUGGAGCAACGCCGCGUGAGUGAAGAAGGGUUUCGGCUCGUAAAGCUCUGUUGGUAGUGAAGAAAGAUAGAGGUAGUAACUGGCCUUUAUUUGACGGUAAUUACUUAGAAAGUCACGGCUAACUACGUGCCAGCAGCCGCGGUAAUACGUAGGUGGCAAGCGUUGUCCGGAUUUAUUGGGCGUAAAGCGAGUGCAGGCGGUUCAAUAAGUCUGAUGUGAAAGCCUUCGGCUCAACCGGAGAAUUGCAUCAGAAACUGUUGAACUUGAGUGCAGAAGAGGAGAGUGGAACUCCAUGUGUAGCGGUGGAAUGCGUAGAUAUAUGGAAGAACACCAGUGGCGAAGGCGGCUCUCUGGUCUGCAACUGACGCUG
rnacentral:rRNA from 1 species